CCAAUGCCUAGGAAUCUGCCUGGUAGGGGGGAUAACGUUCGGAAACGGAGGCUAAUACCGCAUACGUCCUACGGGGGAAAGCAUGGGACCUUCCGGCCUUGCGCUAUCAGAUGACCCUAGGUCGGAUUACCUGAUUGGUGGGGUAAUGGCUCACCUUGGCCACGAUCCGUAACUGGUCUGAGAGGAUGAUGACUCACACUGGAACUGAGACACGGUCCACACUCCUACGGGAGGCAGCAGUGGGGAAUAUUGGACAAUGGGCGAAAGCCUGAUCCAGCCCUGCCGCGUGUGUGAAGAAGGUCUUCGGAUUGUAAAGCACUUUAAGUUGGGAGGAAGGGCAGUAAAUUAAUACUUUGCUGUUUUGACGUUACCGACAAAAUAAGCACCGGCUAACUCUGUGCCAGCAGCCGCGGUAAUACAGAGGGUGCAAGCGUUAAUCGGAAUUACUGGGCGUAAAGCGCGCGUAGGUGGUUAGUUAAGUUGGAUGUGAAAUCCCCGGGCUCAACCUGGGAACUGCAUUCAAAACUGACUGACUAGAGUAUGGUAGAGGGUGGUGGAAUUUCCUGUGUAGCGGUGAAAUGCGUAGAUAUAGGAAGGAACACCAGUGGCGAAGGCGACCACCUGGACUGAUACUGACACUGACGUGCGUACGCGUGAGGAGCCAACACGAUCAGAUACACUGGUAGUCCACGCCGUAGACUAUGUCUACUAGGCUGUGGGAGCCUUGAUCUCUUAC
rnacentral:rRNA from 1 species